rnacentral:rRNA from 1 species
GAGCUACUCCAAGUCAGCCUAUUAAUAGGGCAAACCCGUCUCUGUGGCAAAAGAGUGGGAAGAACUUUGAGUAGAGGUGACAGACCUACCGAACUUAGUUAUAGCUGGUUGCCUGAGAAUUGGAUAGAAGUUCAGCCUCCCGGCUUCUUUCUUCACCCCUAGUCUUUACCCCCUUCUGACACAAAGAAACCGAGAGAGUUAGUCAAAGGGGGUACAGCCCCUUUGACACAAGACACAACUUUUUUAGAAGGGUAAAGAUCAUAAUUAACCCAAAGGCAGUAUGUUUUAGUGGGCCUAAAAG